UGGGGAAUCUUGGACAAUGGGGGCAACCCUGAUCCAGCCAUGCCGCGUGAGUGAUGAAGGCCUUAGGGUCGUAAAGCUCUUUCGCCUGUGAAGAUAAUGACGGUAGCAGGUAAAGAAACCCCGGCUAACUCCGUGCCAGCAGCCGCGGUAAUACGGAGGGGGUUAGCGUUGUUCGGAAUUACUGGGCGUAAAGCGCACGUAGGCGGACCAGAAAGUUGGGGGUGAAAUCCCGGGGGCUCAACCCCGGAACUGCCUCCAAAACUAUUGGUCUAGAGUUCGAGAGAGGUGAGUGGAAUUCCAAGUGUAGAGGUGAAAUUCGUAGAUAUCUGAAGGAAUACCGGUGGCGAAGGCGGCCCCUGGACAAAGACUGACGCUCAGGCACGAAAGCGUGGGGAGCAAACAGGAUUAGAUACCCUGGUAGUCCACACCGUAAACGAUGAAUGCCAGUCGUCGGGUAGCAUGCUAUUCGGUGACACACCUAACGGAUUAAGCAUUCCGCCUGGGGAGUACGGUCGC
rnacentral:rRNA from 1 species